rnacentral:rRNA from 1 species
UACGGAGGGUGCAAGCGUUACCCGGAUUCACUGGGUUUAAAGGGUGCGUAGGCUGAUAUGUAAGUCCGUGGUGAAAUCUCUGGGCUUAACCCGGAAACUGCCAUGGAUACUAUGUGUCUUGAAUGUUGUUGAGGUGAGCGGAAUAUGUCAUGUAGCGGUGAAAUGCUUAGAUAUGACAUAGAACACCAAUUGCGAAGGCAGCUCACUAAGCAAAUAUUGACGCUGAGGCACGAAAGCGUGGGGAUCAAACAGG